AAAUGCCGAGUCCCCUCUUUGCUUCCGAAAUCAUUUUGCUCGGAGUCGUCGGAGAGCGUCUGCUUGCGGGGAGAGAUCUUUUGUUUUCUUUUUUAUUUUUCAGCAUUCCGGCUUCACGAGGUCUGUGAGAGCUGAUAGUGAGGACAUCUGGACAUAACAAAGGGGUCAAGACCUUGGUGUGUGGAACUGAAAAAACCAGAGAGAUUGAAGUCUGGUGGUGGAUUAGCACUAUCAAGUAGUGAUGGAGGGACAAGGUGGCUCUAACUGUAUGCAGUGGAGAUCCCUGAAGUGUGAUAAAGCAAUUGGAGUUGCAGGAACUCUUUCCUCUACAAUGCUGAUGGAAAAUGCAAAAUGCCUUAGCUAGUUGCUACACCUACAAUUUUUAAAUUUUUAGUGUGUCAAAAAUGGAGAACCAUUUCAUCGGACAAGUGCAUAAUAAGUGCUGUUUAAAGUUGUCUUGAUGACAAAAGGCUCCAUCCCAUGAGAUUGUUGCUCAUGUUUGUGUUAUGGAAAUAUGAAUUCAUCAAACACAGCCUCCAAAUGCCUUUGAGCUUCCAGAGCCUCGCAGGACCCCUAUGAAUUCAGCUACUAAAAAUCAACAUUGAUGGGGCUUUCUCUCCAAACAGGGCUGGGGUUGGUUUAGUUAAUUGAAAUCACAAGGAGGGACUUCAUCUACAGUAGAGCAAUCAGAUUACUGGCCACUUUUGCUGAAGAGACUGAAGCCUUUGCACUCUUGUAUGCCCUAUUAUUUGCUCGUGACCUUGGACUUUCCAGGAUUGAAAUUGAAAGCGACUGCCUCUCUUAUUAAAUUUCUGUUGGCGAAUUCCACACCUCCAUGGAGUAUUGCUUCAAUAGUUGCUAAUUGCAGGAGUUCAGUUCCUUUGCUAUUUGCUGCACCAUCCAUCAUACCAAGAGAAGUGCCAAGAAAGGUGGCACAUAUCAUUGCAAGGUUUGCUUUGUACUGAACCAGAUUUUGUUCGUAAUCUUAUUGUAAACAACAAGUCUUUGAUUUAAUGGAUGCUUUGUUUUCAAAAAAAAAAUAAUAAUAAUAAAACUACAAAUACACCAUCUGUUCAAUGGAGUUUUGUUAGUGUUGUAUAAAUGGCCUUUCUGUA